AACCGUGAGGGGGCGAGGAAAGGGCCGGGAGGGAGCCAUGGAUAAGCGGGCGUCAACCGUGAGGGAGUCGUGAGGGAACGUGAAAAGGGCUGCGAGGGGAAGAGGCGCGGGGAAGCGGGAGGAGCCGGUACAGUCCGUUCGCUUUGUAUUCUAUGUGUGAUAAGCACCCUGUGGAAAGGAGGAACCACCGUGGCGGGGUGUCAGAAUUAAUUGACUUUUAAGGUCGUUUCCAGCCCAAAGCAUUCUGGUAUUUGAUGAUUCUGUGACGCCAAGCUCUAUUUGUGCAUCAGCGUUUGUUUCCUGCAGGUUAGGCCGGAGAAAAAUAAAGCUAAAUUGCAUCAA